AAAGUCGUAACAAGGUUUCCGUAGGUGAACCUGCGGAAGGAUCAUUAUCGUAGGGGGCUCUGCCCCCGAAAAAGGAUGUAGGCCAGCCAGAAUUGCAGAUUUCAACUUAAUCGUCUUCUGAGGGCGCUUCUCCUGCCAGACCCGGCGGGCGUGGAACCCCAGGUGACUUCCAGAUGAAGCUACAUGAAUGGCUGGUAUACUCUGGCUCUGUAACCCUUGUAUAUGAGUACUACUGUUUCCUCGGCAGGCUUGCUUGCCAAUGGGGACCCCAUCAAACCUUUUUAUGUUGUCGUAACCGUAACCAAACAAAUAAUCAAAACUUUCAACAACGGAUCUCUUGGUUCUG
rnacentral:misc_RNA from 1 species